rnacentral:lncRNA from 12 species
GUUUGCCACUGAAGUUACAGCCCAGGUGUGCUGAUAACCCAACACAGUGCUUCGGAGUGUUGAGUUAGGACUGUUGCUUUGGAUCACAGAUACUGUAAUCUCUCACACUUUAGUCUCCAGACUAAAGGAAGUUCUGUGACUCUGCAGGAGAUGGAGCAGCCUAGCACAUCCCAGUACAACUGAAGGGAUG